rnacentral:rRNA from 1 species
AGCAGCCGCGGUAAUUCCAGCUCCAAUAGCGUAUAUUAAAGUUGUUGCAGUUAAAAAGCUCGUAGUUGAAUUUCGGGAUCAAUGUUUCGGUCAUGCCGUUGGUAUGUACUGAUAUUAUUGGUUUCUCACCUUCUAAAGAACCGUAAUGCCAUUAAUUUGGUGUCACGGGGAAUUAGGACUGUUACCUUGAAAAAAUUAGAGUGUUUAAAGCAGGCUCACGCUUGAAUACAUUAGCAUGGAAUAAUGAAAUAGGACAUCCGAUUCUAUUAUGUUGGUUUCUAGGAUCGAUGUAAUGAUUAAUAGGGAUAGUUAGGGGCAUUAGUAUUCAAUUGUCAGAGGUGAAAUUCUUGGAUUUAUUGAAGACUAACUACUGCGAAAGCAUUUGCCAAGGAUGUUUUCAUUAAUCAAGAACGAAAGUUAGGGGAUCGAAGACGAUCAGAUACCGUCGUAGUCUUAACCAUAAACUAUGCCAACUAGGGAUCGGAUGAUGUUAAUUUUUUAAUGGCUCA